AUUUUUAGCUAGUUUUGGUUGGUUGAGCAGUUAAAAAAAUCAACAUUGGUUGGCUUUCAAUUGGCUAGUUAUUGUUUUUCCACUUAUUUUCUUUAUUCCACCCUCAAUUGUAUAUAAGACAGAACAAUUACUGUGAUUGAAUGAAAACUUGCAAUUGUCCACCAAGUGGAGGCAUUUCUAUCAUUGUUUUUUUCUCCUCAGCAAGCUAAUAUUGUUGCAAUGAUUUAUGGGUAGAUAUGUGGAAUUCUUAUCUCUACUUUUAGAUUUGAUUAUCAAGAUUCAAUUAUGUAAUUCUGGCUUAAAUUGGUUACUACCGCAGAUAAAGCAGUUGAUUGGCUUAAACACUUUAAUCCCAUUUUAUUUGAUUUCUAGAAUUCUAAAAUCAGUUUCCAGAAGGAUGGGAAGGAGAUAAUAUUGCAGGGAGUUAGUGAUAUGGGGUCUCAAUCCAAGCUACUGAAUUGUUUGAGUUAUCAGCAGCUAUUACAGAAGCAAGGGAAGGAUUUUCAAACUCCUUUAUUAUGCGUGCAAGUGUCGUAAUCACCUUCAACUAUAUUUUCAAUUACUGCAGUAGGUAAUGUUGUUUCAAGUACUCCUGAUACUAAUUCAGUUGAAUUGCAGAAUCUAUUAAAUAAGUAUCAGUGUAUUUUUGAAUGAUCCAAAGACCUUGCCACCAUUCAGAAGUCACAAUCAUUCUAUUCCCUUGGUACCAACAGCAGAACUUGUGAAUAUUAGGCCCUAUAGCUACCCGUGUUUUCAGAAAGCAGAAAUAGAGAAAUUGGCGGAUGAAAUGUUACAAAAUGAGGACAUACAACCCAACACCAGUCCUUAUUCUUCUCCAAGACUUCUUGUAUGAAAAAGGAUGGUUCUUGGAGGUUUUGCAUUGACUAUAGAAAGUUAAAGGACCUCACUAUCAAAGACAAGUUCCCAAUUCCAAUAAUUGAUGAUCCUUUAAAUGAGCUUCAUGGUGCUUUAAUCUUUUCUAAGAUUGAUUUAAAGGUAGGUUACCACCAAAUCAGGAUGAGUCCACCUGAUAUUCAUAAAACAACCUUUAGGACCCAUCAUGGGCAUUAUGAAUUUACU
rnacentral:misc_RNA from 1 species